UAUUUUGACUAUACGAAGGUAUUGAAAUAAGGCUUUAAAUGAGUGCUAAGAGAAUGGUGUAACAAUUCUAAGCUUUCUUUAAUUAAACAAUUGAAUUUAAUUUUUUUGUGAAGAAGCAAGAAUUAAAAUUAGGGACAAGAAGACCCUAUGAAUUUUGUAUUAAAUUAUAUUAAAAUUAUGUAAUUUUAAAUAUUUAAAUUAUUUGGGGUGAUUAGAAAAGAAUGUUUAUCUUUUUUUUAAAAUUAAUUUGUUCCGCUUUUAACGAUUUUAUGAAAAAAAUACUCUAGGGAUAACAGCGUAAUAAUUUUGGAUAGUUCUUAUAGAUAAAAUAGUUUGCGACCUCGAUGUUGGAUUAGGAUUCUUUUUUAGUGAAGAAAUUAAAAGGAAGAAGUUUGUUCAACUUUUAAAUUCC
rnacentral:rRNA from 1 species